AUGCAAGUGGCUGAGAGGCACACUUACUGCCCCUUCAUGAUUCACCUCUGCACUCAUGUCAUGGGCACGCUCUUAAGAGCUGCUGGCGCCCCACAACUGACCAGGGUGGUGUACUGGAGCCAGGCCCUUUCUGCCUAAGCAGGACACUCAAAGAGGCAGUCUUUGCCCUGCAGCCCUCCACUGGCCCAGCCAACACUCUCUCAGAGCUUAGACAUCUGCUUCUCAGAGCACCCAAACUGACAGGGUGUAUCCAGUAUAUUUGAUUCUGAAGCUAGAGAGACCCAGCUGGCCAUACACAUUGGGGAAUCAUUGACAGAUGGCAGCUGAGAUCUGAGAGCGGUUGACCUCACUUCACAAGGUUGAGUGGAAUUAGGAGGGACAAACUUCUGUGACAGGAGCCUGAGGAGCACCAAACAGGAGAACCCAGCCCAUUUCACAGGAUGUUUAAUGUGUGCUCACAAAUAGAUUCCAUCAGCUCUCCUACGGCACCCAGGAGGUCAGCUGCCCCAUGGAGGAAGCAAGAUUUGUGUGCAUUAGAAAUAAAUGAACUGUUGGAGAUAGGAUCUUCUUUGUUGACAAAACAAGUCUUGAAGAUAAGAGAUCAAGGCUUCUAGUUAAAUGGAGCAGUGACCUUAUCAGAAAUCUCAAAGCAGAAAAGUCUGUCAGAAAAACAGCAUCAGAUCAAGGAAACCAAGUACAUGGAGCUAAUUUUUGACUCUAAAGAAAGGCAAGAUUAUUUAAUAAUAAUGAUAAUGGCACAGUUUGUUAACUAUGUGAAGAAAAUCAAAUAUAGCUUUAUCUCCAUUAUACAACCAAAUAUAUUCUACAUGGAUUAAAAUAUUAAAUGUAAAAGUUAAUCAAACCAAUAAGUCAAAAAAGAAAAAAAUAGAAAAAAUAUCCAUAAAAAUUUAUUGAAUUACAAAAUGGUCAUAAAAUAUAUUAGUUCAAAACAAUGGAAUAAUUCAUAAAGGAUGACUAUUAUAGAGAUUUUCCCGUAGAGAGUUCUAAAAUUUAUGUGACUCAAAAAAUGCCUUAUAUAAAACUAAUAUCAAAUAAAAAUUUUCAGAAAAUAUUUGCUUGCAUAAGGCAAAAGAGCUAAUAACCUUAAUGUAUAAAAGUUCCUUCAAACUAAGUACCAUCUCAGAAGAAAAAAAAUCUCAAAGUGGUAAUCAAAUAAUAAAAAUUGUAAUACCAGGUCUCGAUGACUUAGCUAGGUGUGGUGGUGCACACGCCUGUCGUCCCAGCUACUCGGGAGACUGAGGCAGAAGAAUCACUUGAACCCAGGAGGUGGAGUUUGCAGUGAGCCAAGAUCACGCCACUGCACUCCAGCCUGGGGACAGAGCGAGACUCUGUCAAAAAACAAAACAAAACAAAAUAAAACUUCCCUUAAUUCUGCAACAUUUCUGAUUAGACCAAGUAGCAUCAGGAAAGAUACAGAAGAACUUUCCCUCCUCCAACAGCUAAGUUCAACUAAAUUUCUGGACACUGUAUAUAUUUUAACCUCCCCCACCUAAAAUAAAAGAAAAAAAAGAGAAGACUUUGCAGUAUGGAGAAAAGGUAGACAAGCCAGGGACCUUGGUCUCAAAGAACAACAUGGUGGUGGGUUUCCUGGGUUUUCUUUUCCAUCAUAUAUCUCAGACUUGGAGAUGAAAAAUCAGCAAUCCAGAAACAACAUUGGAUGGAGAAAAAGCUGCAAUGAAAGAUUGCCAUCUCUAGCAAAGGAGCAGAAAAGGGGCAGACUAUCAAGGCAGAAAACUUUCAGGCUGUAACUGCUCUACUCCAACCACAUCCAGAAAACAAAACUAAACAAACAAACAAAAAAAACUUGUGGCCUCAUUUUCACUCAUGCUAACAAAGCCCAAGUGGGGAGUCUAAACUGCCACCCUCACAAAGCUGUAAAUAGGUGCCCGCAAUACCCCUACAGGAGUGGUGUCAGAGGACAUGGAAAAGGGAGCCAAAACUUUCAUUUCUGUUAGCCAGUAACAAGAGUCUACUGCAGUGUAAAUGGAGACCAUAUGGGGAACUUGGACUUUCAUGCUACCUGGCAGUGACGAGGCAGCCCUUCUUUCCCUGAUGGAAUGGCAUCAGAGGAUCCCAGUGGGAAGUGAGGACAUUCACUACCACUAAUUAGUAACAAGGCCACCACCACUAUGGUGUCAAUAGAGAUCACAUGGAGAGGCAGCACAAAUAUCUAUGCCCAGUAGUUAUUAAGACCUGCUUCUCUCAGCAGAGUCAGGUGUCAGUGGAGGAGAAGUGAAGGAUCUGGAAGUGAAUUCUACCUUCCAGUAGAAAGCUGUGUUGAGCCACUUUUCCCCCUUUCAAAGCAGUGCCUAAAAAAGCAGCUGGAGGAUAAAGUUUGAAUAAGAUCCAAAGACUCUUAACGUAAUAUGAAUGUGACCAGGUUUCAAUCAAAAAUUGCUUGUCAUACAAAUAACAAGGAAAAUUUCAAAAAGGAUAAAAAGUAAAUUCAUUAUAUGCCAAUAGUGAGAAGGCAGAGCUAUUAAAAUAAUCUGACAGAGAUUGUAGAGCAACUGUGGUAAAAAUACUUCAACAAUCAAAACAUGCUUGAAACAAAUUUAAAAAACAGAGUUUCAGCACAGAUAUAUAAGACACAAAGAAGAACCACUGGACAUUUUAGAACAGAAAAAUGUAAUAACUUAAGUGAAAGCUUAAUGGAUGAUAUCAACAGCAGAAUAGAAGAGACAGAAGAAGAAAACAGGUAGCUUUAAGAUAGAAGAAGAAAAAUCACAUAAUCUAAACAACAGAGAGGAUAAAGGAAAAGAAAAUGAACAGAGCCUCCAAGAUCUGUGGACUAUAACAAAAUAUCUAGCAAAGACCUGGAAGAAGAGAAAUAGAGUGGGUCUAAAAAUGUGCUCCAAGUACACAUGGUCACAAAGAUGAGAACAAUAGACACUGAGGACUACUUGGAGGGGGAGACUGGGAGGAGAGUGAGGGUCAUAAAACUACCGAUUGGGUAUCUUGCUCACUGCCUGGAUGAUGGAAUCAUUUGUACACCAAACCCCAGUACUACACUGCCCAUGUAACAAACCUGCACAUAUACACCCUGAAUCUAAAAUAAAAGUUGAAUAAAUACAUAAAUAUAUAAAAAAUAAAAAUGUACACCAAAAAAUAGCAUCUAAAAUCUACCAAUUUCAUUAGAGACAUAAACCUACAGAAUAUGAAUAAAUAUGAAUGAACCCUAAACAGGGUAAUCACAAAGAUAUUCACACCAAGUUCCCUUGUAAUUAAACAUCUGAGAACUAGAAACAAAGAAAAAAUUUUGAAAGCAAUCAGAGAAAAGACACUUGACCAAUACGAGAAAAGCAAUUAAAAUGACAGAUUUCUCAUCAGAAACCACAGAGGAGAGAUGGAAGUGGCACGAUAUUUUUCAGGUGUCAAAAGAAAAGAGCUCUCAACCUAGGCUGACAAUCCUCUACCCAGGAUGAAAUCCUAGUUUCACAAUUGCAUUAGUCCAUUCUCACAUUGCUAUAAAGAACUACCUGAGACUGGGUAAUUUAUGAAGAAAAGAGCUUUAAUUGGCUCAUAGUUCUGCAGGCUGUACAGGAGGUGUGACUCAGGAGGCCUCAGUAAACUUAGGAUCAAAGCAGAAGGCGAAGGGGAAGCAGACACAUCUUCAUAUGGCAGAACAGGAGAGAAAAAGAGUGAAGGGGAACGUGCCACACACUUUUAAACAACCAGAUCUUGUUAGAACUCUAUCACAAGACAGCACUGGGGGAUGGUGCGAAACCAUUGGAAACCACCCCCAUGAUUCAAUCACCUCCCACCAGGGCCCUCCUCCAACACUGCGGAUUACAAUUCAACAUGAGAUUUGGGUGGGAGACAGAAACAAACCAUAUCAACAAUCCUAUACCCUGAAUAUUCAAUCCUAUAACCAAAGUGAAAGGGAAAUCAUAAUAUUCUUAAGCUGAAGAAAAAGUAAGAUAAUUUACUAUCCUAUCCAAAAAGUAUACCUAAAGAAAGUUCUCUAAACAGAAGGAAAACAAAAGAAAGACACCAGGAAAGGAAGAAAACAGAAAAAAAUAAGAUAAAAGAUCUGCAGCUAUGGAAUUCUUCUCCAUGACAUUUUCACAGAACAUACUACUUGUGAUUUAUAUCAUGUCCUUACUCAAGGUAAGGAACUGCAAGUGAUCAAUAUUGCUGGAGCAAAAGGAAGAGAGAGAAGGCUGAAGAGACUGGUACAAGAUAGAUCACGGAAGAACAGGAUGAAUGUAAGAUGAGCCUGAAGAAAAUAAAGACCUGAUGGCGAGCUGGGGUUGGUCUACGAAGGCUUUAUAAUAACCUUUGAUUUCUUGAAGAAAAAAAAGAAAAUUGUGAUGGCUUGAUGUUGACAAAAGUUGGAAAAUAAACUUAUUUAUGCACUUGGCAACAUGUACUCUGCAAUUCUGCUGCCAGGUCCUGCCUGUUCAGAAAGGCUUGCUUUUAGGAUACAAAUUGCUACAAUCAAAGCCACUGAUGAGACAACUUCAACUCACCCCUUCCACGUUUUCCACAAUUAAAAUCAUGGAAACAUACGAAACUCUCUCAUUUCACUAUUUGCGCAGGCUGUUCAUCUUUCCUUCUUUAACUUCUUUGCUCCCUUUCCAGACAAUAUCUUUUACUUGCAUUGUACUUUUAGAACACUGUUUCUGACAUGAAUAACCUCCUUACAUUUCCCUUGAGGUAACAUUCCCUGGAAAAAAUACAGAAAGGGGCAAAGGCAUCUUGUCCAAAGGAAGUAUGGAAAGCCUCUUCCCGUUACCACCACAAUCCUCUACAUUACGUGCAAGGAGUCAGAGAAGGACAUAGUGGUAACAAAUUGAGUCAGUAUUUCCUCUGCCCUCCUGCCAGCUCAGAGUUCUGUAUGCUUUCAGAGCUGAUAUAUGGAGGAACAACACAAG
rnacentral:lncRNA from 1 species